UACGGGGGGGGCAAGCGUUGUUCGGAAUUACUGGGCGUAAAGGGCUCGUAGGCGGCCAACUAAGUCAGACGUGAAAUCCCUCGGCUUAACCGGGGAACUGCGUCUGAUACUGGAUGGCUAGAGUUUGGGAGAGGGAUGCGGGAUUCCAGGUGUAGCGGUGAAAUGCGUAGAUAUCUGGAGGAACACCGGUGGCGAAGGCGGCAUCCUGGACCAACACUGACGCUGAGGAGCGAAAGCCAGGGGAGCAAACGGG
rnacentral:rRNA from 1 species